AUGUUGUCAUUAUUUUUUCUAGCUCUGUGAACUAAUUUUUGGGUAGUGUGUGAAAGAAAUUUACCCUCCUUCCUUUUUUGGGGGUUGAGCAGGUGGCCUCAUCUCCUGCUGACUACUUGACCUGGAGAAGGAAUACCAACCACAAUCCAUUUUGAUGCCUGGCUGCUGGAUCAUCAUGUAUAACUCAGGAGAAAAAUUCUGGCCUUUGGGGGAAAUGCAUCUAUAGAAAACUUUGUGAAAGUCCCAAAUAAUCCAAAUCAUCCCAAGAGAAAUGAGAGAUGAAACUUGAAGAGAACAACAGAUGUAAAGUGAAACAUAUCCUUCAAUAUUUCCAAAACAGUUAAUUUUCCAUUAUUGAUGACAAUAAAAAUACAAGAUUUUGAUUUUAACA
rnacentral:lncRNA from 1 species